rnacentral:rRNA from 1 species
CACAUGCAAGUCGAGCGGAGUGAUGGUGCUUGCACUAUCACUUAGCGGCGGACGGGUGAGUAAUGCUUAGGAAUCUGCCAUUUAGUGGGGGACAACAUUCCGAAAGGAAUGCUAAUACCGCAUACGUCCUACGGGAGAAAGCAGGGGAUCUUCGGACCUUGCGCUAAAUGAUGAGCCUAAGUCGGAUUAGCUAGUUGGUGGGGUAAAGGCCUACCAAGGCGACGAUCUGUAGCGGGUCUGAGAGGAUGAUCCGCCACACUGGGACUGAGACACGGCCCAGACUCCUACGGGAGGCAGCAGUGGGGAAUAUUGGACAAUGGGCGGAAGCCUGAUCCAGCCAUGCCGCGUGUGUGAAGAAGGCCUUUUGGUUGUAAAGCACUUUAAGCGAGGAGGAGGCUACUCUAGUUAAUACCUAGAGAUAGUGGACGUUACUCGCAGAAUAAGCACCGGCUAACUCUGUGCCAGCAGCCGCGGUAAUACAGAGGGUGCGAGCGUUAAUCGGAUUUACUGGGCGUAAAGCGUGCGUAGGCGGCUGAUUAAGUCGGAUGUGAAAUCCCUGAGCUUAACUUAGGAAUUGCAUUCGAUACUGGUCAGCUAGAGUAUGGGAGAGGAUGGUAGAAUUCCAGGUGUAGCGGUGAAAUGCGUAGAGAUCUGGAGGAAUACCGAUGGCGAAGGCAGCCAUCUGGCCUAAUACUGACGCUGAGGUACGAAAGCAUGGGGAGCAAACAGGAUUAGAUACCCUGGUAGUCCAUGCCGUAAACGAUGUCUACUAGCCGUUGGGGCCUUUGAGGCUUUAGUGGCGCAGCUAACGCGAUAAGUAGACCGCCUGGGGAGUACGGUCGCAAGACUAAAACUCAAAUGAAUUGACGGGGGCCCGCACAAGCGGUGGAGCAUGUGGUUUAAUUCGAUGCAACGCGAAAAACCUUACCUGGUCUUGACAUAGUAAGAACUUUCCAGAGAUGGAUUGGUGCCUUCGGGAACUUACAUACAGGUGCUGCAUGGCUGUCGUCAGCUCGUGUCGUGAGAUGUUGGGUUAAGUCCCGCAACGAGCGCAACCCUUUUCCUUAUUUGCCAGCGGGUUAAGCCGGGAACUUUAAGGAUACUGCCGGUGACAAACCGGAGGAAGGUGGGGAUGACGUCAGGUCAUCAUGGCCCUUAUGGGUAGGGCUACACACGUCAUACAAUGGCCGGGACAGAGGGCUGCCAACCCGCGAGGGGGAGCUAAUCCCAGAAACCCGGUCGUAGUCCGGAUCGCAGUCUGCAACUCGACUGCGUGAAGUCGGAAUCGCUAGUAAUCGCGGAUCAGCUUGCCGCGGUGAAUACGUUCCCGGGUCUUGUACACACCGCCCGUCACACCAUGGGAGCGGGUUCUGCCAGAAGUAGGUAGUCUAACCGCAAGGAGG